rnacentral:rRNA from 1 species
GUCGAGCGGAAACGAUGAUAGCUUGCUAUCAGGCGUCGAGCGGCGGACGGGUGAGUAAUACUUAGGAAUCUACCUAGUAGUGGGGGAUAGCUCGGGGAAACUCGAAUUAAUACCGCAUACGACCUACGGGAGAAAGGGGGCAACUUGUUGCUCUCGCUAUUAGAUGAGCCUAAGUCGGAUUAGCUAGAUGGUGGGGUAAAGGCCUACCAUGGCGACGAUCUGUAGCUGGUCUGAGAGGAUGAUCAGCCACACCGGGACUGAGACACGGCCCGGACUCCUACGGGAGGCAGCAGUGGGGAAUAUUGGACAAUGGGGGCAACCCUGAUCCAGCCAUGCCGCGUGUGUGAAGAAGGCCUUUUGGUUGUAAAGCACUUUAAGCAGUGAAGAAGACUCCAUGGUUAAUACCCAUGGACGAUGACAUUAGCUGCAGAAUAAGCACCGGCUAACUCUGUGCCAGCAGCCGCGGUAAUACAGAGGGUGCAAGCGUUAAUCGGAAUUACUGGGCGUAAAGCGAGCGUAGGUGGCUUGAUAAGUCAGAUGUGAAAUCCCCGGGCUUAACCUGGGAACUGCAUCUGAUACUGUUAGGCUAGAAUAGGUGAGAGGAAGGUAGAAUUCCAGGUGUAGCGGUGAAAUGCGUAGAGAUCUGGAGGAAUACCGAUGGCGAAGGCAGCCUUCUGGCAUCAUAUUGACACUGAGGUUCGAAAGCGUGGGUAGCAAACAGGAUUAGAUACCCUGGUAGUCCACGCCGUAAACGAUGUCUACUAGUCGUUGGGUCCCUUGAGGACUUAGUGACGCAGCUAACGCAAUAAGUAGACCGCCUGGGGAGUACGGCCGCAAGGUUAAAACUCAAAUGAAUUGAC